AAGGUGUUCAUGCAGAAGUCCAGUAAAGUGAAGUCGCUGUACUGUUUUAUUUUUAUUUUAAACAGUCGCCUAGAGGUCCCGCUGAGGAGAGGUGUUCAUGCAGAAGUCCAGUAAAGUGAAGUCGCUGUACUGUUUUAUUUUUAUUUUAAACAGUUCUGGGAGAAUAAAUCUGCCCCAGCUGGCAAAGAGA